rnacentral:lncRNA from 10 species
CCUUCCUGCGGCGGCCGCCACCAGCCGGAAUAGCAACCGGCGGAGCCCGUGCGCACCGCAGCGCAGCGCAGCGGCCGGGGGGUGCGGGCGCCCUCGCCGCCCGGCUACCUACCGCCGCCUGGGCGCCGCCGCUGCCUCCCUUCCCCGCUUCUACCCUCCAGCAGACGCCCGCCGGAGCGACCCCUCCCAGGGUGACCGGGGGAAGGUGUUCCACGUGGCCAUAGCGUUUGCGUCACAAUGACCUGGCGGACAGGUGGGAGCCACAGCGUACACCCCAGGGUUCCCUCUGUGCUGUGCGUAGUGCCUACUGCUUGCUUCCAGGUUAAAUUUCUGUAGCUUUAGAGGACAGGAGACUUCAUGACUUCACUGCCAAGAAAAGUUACAGAGGCCUGCUGUACCUGGAAAUCAAGUUUGAGCUUCGAGAAUAAAGGUCAUGUUUUAAAAACAGCUGUAACACCAGUAAGGUGCUAGUGAGAACCCGAAACAGUUUCUAAGGAGAAUGGCUAUUGAAUGAUGGGAUCAGAAAUUAGGAGAGAAAUAAGGACCCUGGGCCAGGGAAAGAAAUGAAUGAAGAUGCCACCUUAUGCCCAGAACACAUCUCUCAUUCAAUGAUAAAGGAUUUGUGGUUGGGUCAACUUUUGUGAUGCUCAACUCUUUCCUUCGUAAGGACGGGCUCUUUCUCAGGAGGCUUUUGUACUCCCAAUUAACGCACUGCUAAUCUGAUGAAGCUCUAUUUUGUAGCUAUGCCAUCUGGAUCACAUAGCCUCCAAGGCCAGCAGAGCAGAGGAAGACAAAGAGCAGAGCAAGAUAGAGGUGGAAGUUACACGUCCUUUGUGCUUACUUUCUACUGGCCUCAUCGGGUCGCAAGAUCCCACUCUGAUAGGUGCAUGGGGGCUUGGAAAAUUAGAAAAACAUGUGAAUAUUUGCAAUGCUUUCAGUAACCUGGAGAGGUACACAUGGCUGGUAUAACAAUUAUCUUCAUUUAAUGAUGUGGAAACACCUACCACAAGUCCUGGCACAUUGAGGGUCUUGAAUAAAUUCUGUCAGAUGAACGGACAAGCGCACAAAAGGUUGAAAGAGUGAAUGAGGCAGGCACAAUUGUGAUAUUCAACGAGAGUAGUGCGAAGUGCCACUUUACAGCCAAACAUUCAAUUCCUCCUAAUUCACAAGGGAGAGAGGGAUCAAGUUGUGCAGCUGGGAGGUGAUGUUUCUUCCCAGCAGCUGUCAUUGAGGAGACACGUGCAAACCAUAGAAGUCAUUUGUCACAAGAACCCCAUCCAGAAUUUGCUAUGUGCGUCUCACUUGCUAACGUGACAUGAAAUACUGAAGCUUUCAAAAAUCAAGUACAGAGACUUUGUUGUGUUGACAUGGGCAAAAUGAAAUGAAGAGCUGAGGCAAUUAUGUGGAUAAAUCAGGCCAAAAAUAUCCAACCAUUGAGAGGAAAAAGUUCCUUUGGCUCAAAUUAUUCAGAGUGACUGUCCAUGUUCAUCAAUUUAUCAGGAUAAUGAAUUUUAUCCUAUACUUUACUUUGUCACUAUAGAUAUAUCUUUAGUCUAUGAAUUUGAAUGACUUUGUGAUAUUUUACUUCACUGAAAAUUAUAAUAGGGGUUGAAUGAGCAAGCACCGUGUUAAAAGAUUGCUACUGCAGCUAUGAUAAUAGUCCAGGAGAUUUUAAACCCCGUUAUUCAAUAGCUAGCAGACAUAGUUAUUGGAAUGGGGGUAGAGAGGGAGACACGAAAUCUGUUGAGAAUCAAAUGCUUGUAACUAAUCUGUCUUUCCCAUUUAGCAUCCUAUUAUCCAAAAAUAUCUUGGUCUGUAGCUCCCACCUGGUUUCCUGGUCAUUUGACUACUGGUUAAAUGAGCCUGAAAAUUUCAUCAGGUUUCAUAUAAAGAAUAAUAUAU